rnacentral:rRNA from 1 species
AGCGAACGCUGGCGGCAGGCCUAACACAUGCAAGUCGAACGGACCCUUCGGGGUUAGUGGCGGACGGGUGAGUAACACGUGGGAACGUGCCUUUAGGUUCGGAAUAGCUCCUGGAAACGGGUGGUAAUGCCGAAUGUGCCCUUCGGGGGAAAGAUUUAUCGCCUUUAGAGCGGCCCGCGUCUGAUUAGCUUGCUGGUGGGGUAAUGGCCCACCAAGGCUACGAUCAGUAGCUGGUCUGAGAGGAUGACCAGCCACAUUGGGACUGAGACACGGCCCAAACUCCUACGGGAGGCAGCAGUGGGGAAUCUUGCGCAAUGGGCGAAAGCCUGACGCAGCCAUGCCGCGUGUAUGAUGAAGGUCUUAGGAUUGUAAAAUACUUUCACCGGUGAAGAUAAUGACUGUAGCCGGAGAAGAAGCCCCGGCUAACUUCGUGCCAGCAGCCGCGGUAAUACGAAGGGGGCUAGCGUUGCUCGGAAUUACUGGGCGUAAAGGGAGCGUAGGCGGACAUUU